rnacentral:rRNA from 1 species
GUGCCAGCAGCCGCGGUAAUUCCAGCUCCAAUAGCGUAUAUUAAAGUUGUUGUGGUUAAAAAGCUCGUAGUUGAACCUUGGGCCUGGCUGGCCGGUCCGCCUCACCGCGUGCACUGGUCCGGCCGGGCCUUUCCCUCUGUGGAACCCCAUACCCUUCACUGGGCGUGGCGGGGAAACAGGACAUUUACUUUGAAAAAAUUAGAGUGCUCCAGGCAGGCCUAUGCUCGAAUACAUUAGCAUGGAAUAAUAAAAUAGGACGCGCGGUUCUAUUUUGUUGGUUUAUAGGACCGCCGUAAUGAUUAAUAGGGACAGUCGGGGGCAUCAGUAUUCAACUGUCAGAGGUGAAAUUCUUGGAUCAGUUGAAGACUAACUACUGCGAAAGCAUUUGCCAAGGAUGUUUUCAUUAAUCAGGAACGAAAGUUAGGGGAUCGAAGACGAUCAGAUACCGUCGUAGUCUUAACCACAAACUAUGCCGACUAGGGAUCGGACGGUGUUAUUCAUGACCCGUUCGGCACCUUACGAGAAAUCAAAGUGCUUGGGCUCCAGGGGGAGUAUGGUCGCAAGGCUGAAACUUAAAGAAAUUGACGGAAGGGCACCACCAGGGGUGGAGCCUGCGGCUUAAUUUGACUCAACACGGGGAAACUCACCAGGUCCAGACACAAUAAGGGAUUGACAGAUUGAGAGCUCUUUUCUUGAUUUUGUGGUGGUGAUGCAUGGCCGUUCUUAGUUGGUGGGGUGACUUGUCUGCUUAAUUGCGAUAACGAACGAGACCUUAACCUGCUAAAUAGCCCGCAUUGCUCCGGCAGUGCGCUGGCUUCUUAGGAGGGACUUUCGGCUCAAGCCGAAGGAAGUU